GGGACACGUGAAACCCUGUGGGAAGCAGGAGGGACCACCCUCCAAGGCUAAAUACUACCUAGUGACCGAUAGCGUAUAGUACCGUGAGGGAAAGGUGAAAAGAACCCCGGGAGGGGAGUGAAAUAGAACCUGAAACCCUGCACUUACAAGCUGUGGAAGCACAUUUCUUGUGUGACCGCGUACUUUUUGUAGAACGGGCCAACGAGUUACGUUAAGUAGCAAGGUUAAGCACUUAAGGUGCGGAGCCGUAGCGAAAGCGAGUUUUAACUGAGCGUUCAGUUACUUGACGUAGACCCGAAACCGGGCGACCUACCCAUGAGCAGGAUGAAGCGAAAGUAAAAUUUCGUGGAGGUCCGAACCCACGAGCGUUGAAAAGCUCGGGGAUGACUUGUGGGUAGCGGUGAAAUUCCAAUCGAGCCCGGAGAUAGCUGGUUCUCCCCGAAAUAGCUUUAGGGCUAGCCUCAAGGUGAGAGAUACGGAGGUAGAGCACUGAAUGUCCUAGGGGGUAUUGCACCUACCGAAGACUAUCAAACUCCGAAUGCCGUCAUCUUAUACUUGGGAGUCAGACUGUGGGUGAUAAGAUUCAUAGUCGAAAGGGCAACAGCCCAGAUCGUCAGCUAAGGUCCCUAAAUGUAAGUUAAGUGGUAAAGGAUGUGGGAUUGCACAGACAACCAGGAUGUUGGCUUAGAAGCAGCCACUCAUUCAAAGAGUGCGUAAUAGCUCACUGGUCGAGUGAUCCUGCGCCGAAGAUUUCCGGGGCUAAAACUUACUACCGAAGCUACGGCAUCAGUAAUGAUGGGUAGGGGAGCUUCCCAUACGGGUUGAAGCAUGACCGUAAGGACAUGUGGACAGUAUGGGAGUGAGAAUGUUGGCAUGAGUAGCGAGAUGUGGGUGAGAAUCCCACAGGCCGUAAACCCAAGGUUUCCAGGGGAAGGUUCGUCCGCCCUGGGUUAGUCGGGACCUAAGCUGAGGCCGAAAGGCGUAGGUGAUGGACAACAGGUUGAUAUUCCUGUACUACCGAUAACCGUUUGAGAGAAGGGAUGACACAGUAGGAUAAGCUAAGCACACUGUUGGUUAUGUGUGCCCAAGCAUUGAGGCAGUCAAAGUAGGCAAAUCCGCUUUGAUAAUGCUGGGAUGUGAUGGGGAGCGAAAUUUAGUAGCGAAGUAGCUGAUUUCACACUGUCAAGAAAAGUCUCUAUCGAGGUUAAAGGUACCCGUACCGCAAACCGACACAGGUGGGUGAGGAGAGUAUCCUAAGGCCAGCGAGAGAACUGUUGUUAAGGAACUCGGCAAAAUGACCCCGUAACUUAGGGAUAAGGGGUGCCACCAUCAGGUGGCCGCAGAGAAUAGGCCCAAGCGACUGUUUACCAAAAACAUAGGUUUCUGCUAAGUCGCAAGACGAUGUAUAGGAGCUGACGCCUGCCCGGUGCUGGAAGGUUAAGGGGAUCUGUUAGAGCAAUCGAAGCAGUGAACUUAAGCCCCAGUAAACGGCGGCCGUAACUAUAACGGUCCUAAGGUAGCGAAAUUCCUUGUCGGGUAAGUUCCGACCCGCACGAAAGGCGUAACGAUUUGGGCACUGUCUCAACAACAGACUCGGUGAAAUUGUAAUUCCGGUGAAGAUGCCGGAUACCUGCGACAGGACGGAAAGACCCCAUGGAGCUUUACUGUAGCUUGACAUUGGGUCUUGGUACUACAUGUACAGGAUAGGUGGGAGGCUUUGAAACCAGGACGCCAGUUUUGGCGGAGCCAUCCUUGGGAUACCACCCUUGUAGUACUGGGACUCUAACCAUAGGCCAU
rnacentral:rRNA from 1 species